GAGAAGGCAAAGAGAAGGGCAACUUCUCAAAAAUCUCAAGGUGUUGGCCAACUGGUGAAUUCUAAGGUAAGGGGAUGACAAUGAGACAUCUGAACUACAUCCACACCGUUCAAGGGCAAGAACCUGGCAGGUCCGUGUCCUGAAAAAUCAACAAGCCACAACACCAUCAAGUCAGACUCCGAGAACUCACUGAAAUCCAAAGACCACAUCGUCGUCACACUGUAUGUCCUCCUGAUGUUCACUCGACUGUUAGUUAAAAUAAUUACCGGCAUUUGCCACCUGCGCUGUGAGCUAUGGAUAAGGGGAAAGACCGAACUUCCCUGGGCUGCGCCAUAUAGGAGCGCUGGUGGUAGCUGCUGAUGCAUUUUGAUAAACAAAUUCAAAGGCUGUGUGAGUUGUGCCUUGAAGGCUGAAAAUUAUACGUGAAAUUGUGCCAUACCUGGCUCCAAACAAUAAACUUGGGGAGAAGGGAAUUUAAAGCGGGGAAAAGAAGAUAGCCCUUCAGUUUAAAAUUAGUCAAUAUGAGAGGAACAAAGAGAGGGAGACCGGGAGGGAAGAAGGGGGAGGAAGUGAGAAAAAAAAAAUAGAACUACAUACUGUGAAAUGAACAAGUUCAGUUAGAAUGUUCAUCAGGAUUUGGAAAAUCAUAAUGCCAUCUGCUACUCUGGACCUCCGAACAUCAGGGAUCUCGUGGGCCCAGACGCUUCCAUUUCCAGGAGGAAGGAAGGAACUUAGACUCCCUGGAACGCUGCCUCCGUUCUGGAAUGGAGGCAGCGCCCCAGCCGAUCGGUUUGGAAUCUCUUUUGAGAACAUUUGCACUGUUCACAUACGCAUUUUCCCUGGUUUAGGGAAAAUGAACGGCAGGCAAAAUGAUUACGGCAACUCGGCAGUGAGGCGGAGCAGUGCCCCAGCCUGAGCUGCUGGGUAACUGACCCUGGCAUCCAACUUGGGCUCAGGGUGUGUAGGUCCCAUCACGGUGGAUUAAAUGAGCAUUGUCCUACGGCUGGAUAAGACUUCACAAUAGAGCAACACAUGUUAAAUGACAGCAGCCAAAAUUGGCCCCACCAGGCAACUGCCCAUUCACAGAACGCUUUUCAUACGCCUCCACCACCAAGAAAUUAAUUCAUUAAUAAUACAUCAGGCUUCGUGGACAAUUCAAAGAAAACAACACAAAGCUACUUGUUCAGUGACUGCCUAAAGAUGCAGAAUUUUUCCUGGUUAAAAACAAACAAACAAAACCCAAAUCUAAUGGACUUACUGAAACCUAAAUCACAGGGAUGUUUAUGCUAAUAUUUGGUUAGUGAAAAAGAAGAAAUGGUGAAAGUCUAUCCACUGAAUUCACUCAGUGCCACUAGGAAACAAUAAAAAUACAGAUUAUUUUCAGCAGCAGCUAAUAAAAUCUGAAUUUAUAGAA